UACAGAGGGGGCAAGCGUUGUUCGGAAUUACUGGGCGUAAAGGGCGCGUAGGCGGCCUUCUAAGUCGAACGUGAAAUCCCCGGGCUCAACCCGGGAACUGCGUCCGAUACUGGAAGGCUUGAAUCCGGGAGAGGGAUGUGGAAUUCCUGGUGUAGCGGUGGAAUGCGCAGAUAUCAGGAGGAACACCAAUAGCGAAGGCAGCUCGCUGGGACGGUACUGGCGCUAAGGCGCGAAAGCGUGGGGAGCGAACAGG
rnacentral:rRNA from 1 species